CUGCCAGGAUGAGACCCCUGAACUCUCUCUUUCUGAUGGCCAAGUGGUGAAAGGCUCUAUGGGAAUCUGAGUGGC
ensembl:snoRNA SNORD26 Small nucleolar RNA SNORD26